rnacentral:rRNA from 1 species
GAUGAACGCUGGCGGCGUGCCUAAUACAUGCAAGUCGAGCGAACAGACGAGGAGCUUGCUCCUCUGACGUUAGCGGCGGACGGGUGAGUAGCACGUGGAUAACCUACCUAUAAGACUGGGAUAACUUCGGGAAACCGGAGCUAAUACCGGAUAAUAUAUUGAACCGCAUGGUUCAAUAGUGAAAGACGGUUUUGCUGUCACUUAUAGAUGGAUCCGCGCCGCAUUAGCUAGUUGGUAAGGUAACGGCUUACCGAGGCAACGAUGCGUAGCCGACCUGAGAGGGUGAUCGGCCACACUGGAACUGAGACACGGUCCAGACUCCUACGGGAGGCAGCAGUAGGGAAUCUUCCGCAAUGGGCGAAAGCCUGACGGAGCAACGCCGCGUGAGUGAUGAAGGUCUUCGGAUCGUAAAACUCUGUUAUUAGGGAAGAACAAAUGUGUAAGUAACUAUGCACGUCUUGACGGUACCUAAUCAGAAAGCCACGGCUAACUACGUG